rnacentral:rRNA from 1 species
GACGAACGCUGGCGGCGUGCCUAAUACAUGCAAGUAGAACGCUGAAGAGAGGAGCUUGCUCUUCUUGGAUGAGUUGCGAACGGGUGAGUAACGCGUAGGUAACCUGCCUGGUAGCGGGGGAUAACUAUUGGAAACGAUAGCUAAUACCGCAUAAAAUGGAUUAUCGCAUGAUAAUCCAUUGAAAGGUGCAAAUGCAUCACCACCAGAUGGACCUGCGUUGUAUUAGCGAGUUGGUGGGGUAACGGCUCACCAAGGCGACGAUACAUAGCCGACCUGAGAGGGUGAUCGGCCACACUGGGACUGAGACACGGCCCAGACUCCUACGGGAGGCAGCAGUAGGGAAUCUUCGGCAAUGGACGGAAGUCUGACCGAGCAACGCCGCGUGAGUGAAGAAGGUUUUCGGAUCGUAAAGCUCUGUUGUAAGAGAAGAACGAGUGUGAGAGUGGAAAGUUCACACUGUGACGGUAUCUUACCAGAAAGGGACGGCUAACUACGUG